AUUGAACGCUGGCGGCAGGCCUAACACAUGCAGGUCGAGCGGAUGAAGGGAGCUUGCUCCUGGAUUCGGCGGCGGACGGGUGAGUAAUGCCUAGGAAUCUGCCUGGUAGUGGGGGAUAACGUCCGGAAACGGGCGCUAAUACCGCAUACGUCCUGAGGGAGAAAGUGGGGGAUCUUCGGACCUCACGCUAUCAGAUGAGCCUAGGUCGGAUUAGCUAGUUGGUGGGGUAAAGGCCUACCAAGGCGACGAUCCGUAACUGGUCUGAGAGGAUGAUCAGUCACACUGGAACUGAGACACGGUCCAGACUCCUACGGGAGGCAGCAGUGGGGAAUAUUGGACAAUGGGCGAAAGCCUGAUCCAGCCAUGCCGCGUGUGUGAAGAAGGUCUUCGGAUUGUAAAGCACUUUAAGUUGGGAGGAAGGGCAGUAAGUUAAUACCUUGCUGUUUUGACGUUACCAACAGAAUAAGCACCGGCUAACUUCGUG
rnacentral:rRNA from 1 species